rnacentral:tRNA from 1 species
GGGGCUGUAGCUCAGUUGGUUAGAGCAUCGGACUUUUAAUCCGUUGGUCCUCGGUUCGAGUCCGAGCAGCCCCA